rnacentral:rRNA from 1 species
CCUACGGGUGGCAGCAGUGAGGAAUAUUGGUCAAUGGGCGCGAGCCUGAACCAGCCAAGUCGCGUGAGGGAAGACGGCCCUAUGGAUUGUAAACCUCUUUUGUCGGGGAGCAAAAGACGAUACGCGUGGCGUUCCGAGAGUACCCGAAGAAAAAGCAUCGGCUAACUCCGUGCCAGCAGCCGCGGUAAUACGGAGGAUGCGAGCGUUAUCCGGAUUUAUUGGGUUUAAAGGGUGCGCAGGCGGAAGAUCAAGUCAGCGGUAAAAUUGAGAGGCUCAACCUCUUCGAGCCGUUGAAACUGGUUUUCUUGAGUGAGUGAGAGGUAUGCGGAAUGUGUGGUGUAGCGGUGAAAUGCAUAGAUAUCACGCAGAACUCCGAUUGCGAAGGCAGCAUACCGGCGCUCAACUGACGCUCAGGCACGAAAGUGUGGGUAGCGAACAGGAUUAGAUACCCCAGUAGUC